CCAGCAGCCGCGGUAAUUCCAGCUCCAAUAGCGUAUAUUAAAGUUGUUGCAGUUAAAAAGCUCGUAGUUGGAUUUCAGGAGGGAGCGGCCGGUCCGCGUCCUUUGUGGCGUGUGUACUAGCUACGUCUCCCACCUUCCUUGUAGUGCUGCACGUGCCUUAACUGGUUGCGUGUGGGGCUACAUCAUUUACUGUGAAAAAAUUAGAGUGUUUAAAGCAGGCGUUCGCCUUGAAUACAUUAGCAUGGAAUAAUAAGAUAGGACCUUGGGUUCUUCUUGUUGGUUCACGAACCUAGGUAAUGAUUAAUAGGGAUAGUUGGGGGUAUUCAUAUUUCAUUGUCAGAGGU
rnacentral:rRNA from 1 species